ensembl:lncRNA
AGCCGUCAAAUGUAACACAUCGGUGAGGCAAAACUGACGUCUCUUUGCGAAAAUGUGCUUUGGUGCGCUUGUUUGAUAACUUGUGGUUAAAGCGCCACUCAGCGGUCAAAAGCUGCAAAUGCACUUUGCAGACGCGGCGGCGGUGGCGGUGGUACACGCGCGGUAGAACCACCGUUUUGGUUGGCCACCUACUGUAUGUUAUGGCUCCCCUUUGAAGCGCUUGUGUUUUUCUUUUCCAUCUCUCCAAUCCUAUUCUACUCACAGGUGAUUGGAGAUGAGUUUCGUUCCUGCUUUGAUUUUGAUUUUUAUAAAAUAUUUUUUUUAAUAUAAAACGGUACUUUCAGUUGCAGGCUAAUUUUUUGGGUAAUAAAUAAUUGCUAAAUAAUAUUGAUAAAUUAUUUUAAAAGAUUGGUCUUGUUUGUGAAGCAGCGCUUGCUUAUUUGUCUCGCGAGAGUUGGCAACAGUGGUAUGCAUGCACCUCGCAGAGCUAGACAAUACGAGCAGUCGGGGUGAAAAGGGUUUAUAUAUAUAUUUUUAAGAAGACAGAUCGUUUCGCUAUAGGCUAUAAGUUGCGACAGAAGAAAGGGAGACAUGAACAUCUUGGAUGACAUGGGGAUCUCUGACUCGGAUCUCAGACCGAGCUUGUGCGCAGCUGCUGCGGUUCUUCCUGCGAGUGGACGGUGUGCUGAUCAGGAUAAACACACGCGUCUGUAUCACGAGGCAAGUUACGCUCGCGCACUCCAUCGAGAAACACAUCGUAUGAUUUCAUCAUGUAUUAAACCUGCUUGCUCUGCACUGAUUCAAACAGGCAAAAAAAAAAAAAAACCCUUCUAGAAUUCACCACACGUGAAAGUCAAAUGUCAGACCUCCAGGUGAGAGAUGUUAACCCUCUGUUGCUCUUCAGUCGUUUCUAAUUUAUACUUUAUUGGAAAGGUAUGAAACUUUGUUUUGGCACUUGCUAUGUGAACACACAAUCAUGUUCAUGAUUGAAAAGGUUAAAUGGUCCUGAAAAAGAGUCACACUUGGCUUCUUUGAAAGUGAUUUUUUUUUUUUUUUUUUUUUUUUUUUUUUUUUUUUNAUGGCUUUGAUUUUUCAUCCAGUUUUAGAGUAAAACAGGUUUCAGAAAAAAUUGAUUUCAUAUAAAAUUUGAAUAUCGUAUUUUUGUGCAUUGUUCAUAACUAUAAACAUCUAUAAUUUUUGCUUUCAGUUUUUCCACUUCAGCAAUAAUCUGC